rnacentral:rRNA from 1 species
AUUGAACGCUGGCGGCAGGCCUAACACAUGCAAGUCGAGCGGACGAAGGGAGCUUUCGCUUGUCUUCAGUGGGGGACGGGUGAGUGAGGCCUAGGAAUCUGACUGGUAUAUGGGGCUAACGUCCGGAAACGAGCGCUAAUAUCGUAUACGUUCUGAGGGAGAAAGGGAGGGUUCUUAGGAGCUAACGCUAUCAGAUGAGCCUGAGCUGCAUUUGCUAGUUGGUAAGGUAAAGGCGUAACAAGGCGACGAUCCAUAGCUGGCCUGAGAGGAUGAUCAGUCACACUGGAACUGAGACACGGUCCAGACUCCUACGGGAGGCAGCAGUGGGGAAUCUUGGACAGUGGGCGAAAGCCUGAUGCAGCAAUGCCGCGUGUGUGAAGAAGGUCUUCGGAUCGUAAAGCUCUGUUAGUUGGGAAGAAGAUCAGUAAGUGAAUACCUUCAUGUCUUGACGGUACCAAAACAAUAAGCACCGGCUAACUACGUG